rnacentral:rRNA from 1 species
AGUGAACGCUGGCGGUAGGCCUAACACAUGCAAGUCGCACGGCAGCACAGUAAGAGCUUGCUUUUACGGAUGGCGACUGGCGGACGGGUGAGUAAUACAUCGGCAUCUACUUUUUCGUGGCGGAAUAAGUAGUGAAACUUACGCUAAUACCGCAUACGAACUACGGGUGAAAACAAGAUAACUUCGGAAGUUGCACGGUUGAAUGAGCAGAUGUCGGAUUAUCUAGUUGGCGGGGUAAAGGCCCACCAAGACGACGAUCCUUAGCUGGUCUGUGAGGAUGAGCAGCCACACGGGAACUGAGACACGGGACAGACUCCUACGGGAGGCAGCAGUGGGGGAUAUUGGACAAUGGGCGCAAGCCUGAGCCAGCCAUACGGCGUGGGUGAAGAAGGCCUUCGGGUUGUAAAGCCCUUUUGUUGGGAGAGAAAAGCAGCAGGUUAAUACCCCGCUGUGCUGACGGUACCCAAAGAAUAAGCACCGGCUAACUUC